rnacentral:rRNA from 1 species
UACGGAGGAUGCAAGCGUUAUCCGGAAUGAUUGGGCGUAAAGCGUCCGCAGGUGGCGAUGUAAGUCUGCUGUUAAAGAGUGAGGCUCAACCUCAUAAGAGCAGUGGAAACUACAUAGCUAGAGUACGUUCGGGGCAGAGGGAAUUCCUGGUGUAGCGGUGAAAUGCGUAGAGAUCAGGAAGAACACCAGUGGCGAAGGCGCUCUGCUGGACCAUAACUGACACUCAGGGACGAAAGCUAGGGGAGCGAAUGGG